rnacentral:misc_RNA from 1 species
GAUGAAGAACGUAGCGAAAUGCGAUACUUGGUGUGAAUUGCAGAAUCCCGUGAACCAUCGAGUCUUCGAACGCAAGUUGUGCCCGAAGCCAUUAGGCCGAGGGCACGCCUGCCUGGGCGUCACACGUCGUUGCCCCCCCAUCUACUCCUUCGGGAUUGCGGGGGGCGGAUGAUGGCCUCUCGUGCGCCUCGUCGCGCGGUUGGCCUAAAUGCCAAGUCCUCGGCGACGCACGCCACGACAAUCGGUGGUUGCGAAACCUCGGUUGCCUGUCGUGUGCGGUCGUCGCGCAUCGAGGGCUCGAAAAAAUUGCCGGGCUUCGGCUCGACUUUCAACGCGACCCCAGGUCAGGCGGGGUUACCCGCUGAAUUUAAGCAUAUCAUAAGCGGAGGA